rnacentral:lncRNA from 1 species
UAAGCUUAGAUGUGGCUAUCUUUAUUUGAUGCCUUGCUCUUCGAGUUGAUAUGUUGUGCAUUGUUUGUUGCUUGAUUCUAAAGUCCAAGGGAAAUUUGGGUUUCUAUUUGACAUUCUUGUAUUUUGGAUUGCAGUCCAUUGGUCAGAUCUUUUGAACUCUUAACUUUUAAAUUUGUGCUUAGGAUUAGUUUCUUCAUCUCCUCCUUACUUCUUUAAUUUCAAAGUCUCUACCUCCUUUUAAAAUCUUCUUUGCUUGUGUUUGUUGAUUUCUAAACUUUGACCAUUUUCGCAAACUAGAAACUUUGGCCUUAUGCCAUUGCAUUUUCAAACUCAUUUUCUUAAUCAAAGUUGUAAAUGAACUUAACUAUACUUAACUUAAAAUUUCAAAAGCCAAAAAGAACUAACACUCAUUCAAACCAU